rnacentral:lncRNA from 1 species
AUGUAAUUUGACCUACACUUUUUCAGACGGCAGACGAAGCAACAGAAGUUCUUACCAUAAUCUUCACCUGUUUCUCCCAAAUUUGCCCCCAAUUCAUUCUCAGUCGCCAAAGAGUCCGAGCAAUUAUUAUAUGUACAAUAAUCAAUCAGCUGCAUAAUGAAUUGGAGUAUACGAAUCAUCAAACAGUUUGUGAAAUUCAUCAUGAUGAGAGUAUACGAACCGCUAAGGUAAUCAAUUGUAUUGAAUUGCACCAGCAAUCGUUCCCUUCUCCUCUCCAACAAAACCAUCCCCAUCAUGAAGAUAACUCACGAUGUUCAGAUCUAGGGUUCCGGCUCUUCCUUGUCUUCUCCGAACUCAGGUCUCGAAUUGCAACCCUGUAAUGACAAAUUACAGGAGAACGAUUGGAUGUACUGAAGAUAUUAAUAAUUGAUGAAGUGAUAUCUUGUGCGGGGAUUCAAUGAGAAUUUAGGGAUGUUUGGAUUUCGAUUUUCAACUCUUGUUAUGCUGUUUAUAAUGCAAUGCCCAAAGCAAAUAGGGAUGAAGUCUAAAUUAUGCAGGUUUUUUUUAAUUAUCAACUGAUUUCUUAUGUUGAUGUUUUGUAUAAUGAUUUAAAUUAAGAGAAAAACAAUAAACCUCAGUUCCUUGGAGGUUAUCAGCUUUGAUAUUACAUAAUAUUUUUCUACUUUAUUAUUUUAAUAUUAAUUGGGUGUCAUCAACAUGGAUUGUGUGCUGGUUGAUUCUAAUUGGGAUGCAAUAAGCGCCUCUAAUAGGGCCAUGUUUCUGUUUGGUGCCACAAACUCAUCUCAUAGUUGUAUUGCCGAGGAAGUUAGAGUGGUCCGGGUUUGUGAUGAACUCACAGUUGGUAUGGAACACAACUGAAUUUAGGCCGGAUUGGAUCAAAGAUUUGGACGUGGUGGUGGCCGCGGAUGGAGAGGAUGAUAUUGGGAGUCCUCUUUCUUUGGUUAAGGACGCAAUCUCAAUUCGUAUUGUUUUCUGCAUUACUAAUUUCAUUUAUUAUAAAAUGAAGGUUUCAUGGUAAGCUCCCUUUUAGGAGGUGCUUUUGUUGGAUCUUCAGUCAGUGGCUAGAUCGCUUACGGGGUUGGACGUCGAAGAGGAUUCCAAUUGUGUGCCAUACCACUGAUAGUCGGUGCUGUAAUGAGUCCCACAUCAGAUGAUCUUGGGGGUAUGCAUAUUGGAAGGUUUCUUGUUGGAAGUGCAAUGGGGGUUAGCCCUCCUAUCGCAGCUCUGUACAUUAUAGAGUCUUCACCGGCUUUUGUAAGAGGAACUUACGGAAGCUUCACUCAGAUCGCAACGUGUCUUGGACUUAUUUGUUUUUUCUUCAUCGGGAUCCCAGCAAAGGAUGUUACGCGUUGGUGGUGGGUCUGCUUCUGGGUAUCUACCGUUCCGGCAGCCUUGCUUGCUCUUCUAAUGGAGUUCUGUGCAGAAAGUCCCCAUUGGCUUUUUAAGAGAGGAAGAAGUGCAGAAGCUGAAGCAAAGUUUGCAAAGCUCCUCGGAAGCUUACAUGUCAAGUCUGCAAUGGCAGAAUUGUCCAAGUCAGACAGAGGGGAUGAAGUAGACGGAGUAAAGCUUUUAGAGUUGUUCUACGGAUGCCAUUUCAAAGGUGUGUGUGUAUAUAUAUCACCAUAUUCACUAUACCUUUUUCCCAAUUAAAGUACAUGUUUUUUAAAUUUCAAGUUGAUGCUUUGCUUUCAUAUAUGUAUAGUUAAAGACGAAUCUUUUAAAUUUCAAGUUGAUGAUUUGCUUUCUU